ensembl:lncRNA
CAGAGGAGUGCUGAGGAUUCCUUGAACCACAACAGCUGUCUGCAGCCCACAGAGCCAACCAGAUUCCAGGGCUGGAGCAGCAGUACUUGGCAGCAUCUCAUAAGGCACAGAGCUGCCCCAGCAGGUAGGCUGGGACAUCUCAUUGCCCAGAGAAGCUGCAAACUGUCAGGUGACUGGAUGAAUUUACAACUAAAUGUAGGUCAGAAACAAGAGCUCAACAGCCAGGGGGAGCAGAGAGGAGCACGCAGCUCUGGGCUGCAUGUUCAGCAGGAGGAAGAUGGGUGCAGGAGGGACUCAGGCUGUCUGAACAGUGCCUUCCAUGUGUGGGUCAGAGAAGAGGCAGGUCACAUUUGCCUCCAUCCAUCCAUGGAUCCCAAGCAUCCCGACAGGAGGGGUCCCAGAGGCAGCGGCAGAGCCCAGGGCUGCCCAGCCCGGCGUGAGCGGUGACAGACUGCGACAGAAGGAGGCUCUUCUCCGACAAACCCUCCUCUCCCUUCACCCAGUUUUCUUCCGAGCCUCAAAGAAGCAGAACUGCUUGAAACGUUCGUUUUGCGCCGUUUGAAUGGCAGCGGUAACUCCUGCACAGGGAGCUGCAGAAGCAGCAGGAUGCUGCUAGCAGGGUGGCAGCUGAGCAGAACCCCCUGCUGCAUACCUGAAAGAGAAGCAGGGCGUCUUUACUCGCCCUGGGCUGCAGCCUGUUGUGCAUUAACCCUGAAAGCUUUGGCUGUUUUCAGUAGUUCAUUGCUUUAAGAGAUUGGAUGUGCAUUUAUGUAAACACAGGCGUGCACUUGUCCUAUGGAUGGAAAAAUAAGUCAAAAACAAUGCUUUGAAAAGAAGCAGUCACCCCAAAAUAACAGUCCCUCUCAGUCUCUGUGAGUGUGAGAGCACAGGGCAUGACACUGCACCAGAGCAAACAAGAAGGCAGAUGACAGAAAUCCUACUCACCAUGUCUUAGUAUUGAGCAGAAAUCCUCUCUCCUAGCCCUGAUAUGAGGCUGGUCUUUAUCCAGAGGCUCCGGUGAUGCUUUUCAGAAUCAGAGGGGCUGGACCACUGCUGCUAUCCAGUGCUACUCUCCACCCCCUGCCUUUCCCUCCUCCUUCUUUCAUCUCCACCCCCUCAUUCCUCCUGCUUGCAGCUCUCCAUACCUUACAUAGAUUCUGGGCUUCCAAAUGUAUCUCAAUUUAGGAAAGAUGCAUAUUUCAGCCAUCUGCUUGGCAUCAUGGAAAUGCCUUCUUUGCUAAGGAAUAUGAGCCCAGGAGGUAAGCCUGGGAGUCGUGAGCCAGCAUUUCACUUCCCCUGUACUCUACAGCUUAUUACACAGGAAGGAACAUAUCCAAAUCAACAUCAUUUCUCACGUGGAUUGUUUCUGGCUAGGAUUUGGGAAAAGCAGUCAUAGUGUGUUUUUAGGUGAGGGAGAUGCUGAUGAUGGUGUUUCAUGAGGCUUCUGUUAGUGCUAAACUCAGAGAGGAUUACGUGAUCAAAGUGGGGAAGGGGUGCAUGUGAAUAGCUCAGCUGCCCAGAGCUGGAGCUUCACACUGCUGCCACCAAAUGUGAUCUAUUGAUAUCUCCUUAGAGCCAGCCUAACUUCUGUUUCAGUGUGCAGUGAUGUAAACAUCUACUUUUCAUCCUUCUGUAGGGAGAUUAAUUUCUUAUCAUCAAAAGCACCAAAGCUUUAACUGUACACCAGCAUGACACUGACUUCCUUGCCCCAGACCUGUCCCAAUAAAGGCCUUCCGAUCUGGUCA